UGGGGAAUAUUGGGGCAAUGGACGCAAGUCUGACCCAGCGACGCCGCGUGGAGGAAGAAGGUCUUCGGAUUGUAAACUCCUGUUGUUGGGGAAGAUAAUGACGGUACCCAACAAGGAAGUGACGGCUAACUACGUGCCAGCAGCCGCGGUAAAACGUAGGUCACAAGCGUUGUCCGGAAUUACUGGGUGUAAAGGGAGCGCAGGCGGGGAGACAAGUUGGAAGUGAAAUCUAUGGGCUCAACCCAUAAACUGCUUUCAAAACUGUUUUUCUUGAGUAGUGCAGAGGUAGGCGGAAUUCCCGGUGUAGCGGUGGAAUGCGUAGAUAUCGGGAGGAACACCAGUGGCGAAGGCGGCCUACUGGGCACCAACUGACGCUGAGGCUCGAAAGUGUGGGUAGC
rnacentral:rRNA from 1 species